rnacentral:rRNA from 1 species
UACGUAGGGUGCAAGCGUUGUCCGGAAUUAUUGGGCGUAAAGAGCUCGUAGGCGGUUUGUCGCGUCUGCUGUGAAAUCUGGGGGCUCAACCCCCCAGCCUGCAGUGGGUACGGGCAGACUAGAGUGCGGUAGGGGGAGAUUGGAAUUCCUGGUGUAGCGGUGAAAUGCGCAGAUAUCAGGAGGAACACCGGUGGCGAAGGCGGGUCUCUGGGCCGAUACUGACGCUGAGGAGCGAAAGCGUGGGGGAGCGAACAGGA